UUGUUGGUGGGGUGAUGGCCUACCAAGGCGACGACGGGUAGCCGGCCUGAGAGGGCGACCGGCCACACUGGGACUGAGACACGGCCCAGACUCCUACGGGAGGCAGCAGUGGGGAAUAUUGCACAAUGGGCGGAAGCCUGAUGCAGCGACGCCGCGUGAGGGAUGACGGCCUUCGGGUUGUAAACCUCUUUCAGCAGGGACGAAGCGUAAGUGACGGUACCUGCAGAAGAAGCACCGGCCAACUACGUGCCAGCAGCCGCGGUAAGACGUAGGGUGCGAGCGUUGUCCGGAUUUAUUGGGCGUAAAGAGCUCGUAGGCGGCUUGUCGCGUCGACUGUGAAAACCCGCAGCUCAACUGCGGGCCUGCAGUCGAUACGGGCAGGCUAGAGUUCGGUAGGGGAGACUGGAAUUCCUGGUGUAGCGGUGAAAUGCGCAGAUAUCAGGAGGAACACCGGUGGCGAAGGCGGGUCUCUGGGCCGAUACUGACGCUGAGGAGCGAAAGCGUGGGGAGCGAACAGGAUUAGAUACCCUGGUAGUCCACGCUGUAAACGUUGGGCGCUAGGUGUGGGGAGCCU
rnacentral:rRNA from 1 species